rnacentral:rRNA from 1 species
UAGGGAAUCUUCGGCAAUGGGGGCAACCCUGACCGAGCAACGCCGCGUGAGUGAAGAAGGUUUUCGGAUCGUAAAGCUCUGUUGUAAGAGAAGAACGUGUGUGAGAGUGGAAAGUUCACACAGUGACGGUAACUUACCAGAAAGGGACGGCUAACUACGUGCCAGCAGCCGCGGUAAUACGUAGGUCCCGAGCGUUGUCCGGAUUUAUUGGGCGUAAAGCGAGCGCAGGCGGUUUAAUAAGUCUGAAGUUAAAGGCAGUGGCUUAACCAUUGUUCGCUUUGGAAACUGUUAAACUUGAGUGCAGAAGGGGAGAGUGGAAUUCCAUGUGUAGCGGUGAAAUGCGUAGAUAUUGGGAGGAACACCAGUGGCGAAGGCGCCUUUCUGGACUGUGUCUGACGCU